CCCUUAGAUGUUCUGGGCCGCACGCGCGCUACACUGAUGCAUUCAACGAGUUUCUUCCUGGUCCGAGAGGAAUGGGUAACCUUUUGAAAGUGCAUCGUGAUAGGGAUAGACUAUUGCAAUUAUUGGUCUUCAGCGAGGAAUUCCUAGUAGACGUAGUUCAUCAGACUGCAUCGAUUACGUCCCUGCCCUUUGUACACACCGCCCGUCGCUCCUACCGAUUGAAUGCUCAGGUGAGCCAUUCGGACUUUCAUCAUGCUGGUUUCCAGUUUUGAUGAAGGAAAGUCUUGCGAACCUUAUCAUUUAGAGGAAGGAGAAGUCGUAACA
rnacentral:rRNA from 1 species